rnacentral:rRNA from 1 species
UACGAAGGGUGCAAGCGUUAUUCGGAAUUACUGGGCGUAAAGCGUGCGUAGGCGGUUUCUUAAGUCUGCUGUGAAAUCCCCGGGCUCAACCUGGGAAUGGCAGUGGAUACUGGGAGGCUAGAGUGUGUCAGAGGAUGGUGGAAUUCCCGGUGUAGCGGUGAAAUGCGUAGAGAUCGGGAGGAACAUCAGUGGCGAAGGCGGCCAUCUGGGACAACACUGACGCUGAGGCACGAAAGCGUGGGGAGCAAACAGG